rnacentral:lncRNA from 1 species
UGGGGGGGGUGGGGGGAGGGUUGGUUCCUCAGGCUGUAGAGACAAUAGGAAUGAGGAGGGUGACCUCCAGCUCCUAAUAUAGCCUAAGAGCCACAAAUUGUGGUGUUACAAGUGGCAUAAUUCUUGUAGAGGCCUUGCUGAAUUUGGAGUUGACAAUUCUCCUUUAGGAGCUGCACAGAACUCAGAACUGUGCAUGCUGGUUCGUGAUAAUAUGAAUC